rnacentral:rRNA from 1 species
AUUGAACGCUGGCGGCAGGCCUAACACAUGCAAGUCGAGCGGCGCGGCGGACGGGGGAGUAAGGCCUAGGAAGCUGCAUGGUGGUGGGCGAUCACGUCGGGGAGCGGGCGCUAAUGCCGCAUACUUUAAGAUCGGCCUAGGGCGGAUUAGGUGGUUGGGGGGGGAAAGGCCUACCAAGGCGGCGAUCCGUAACUGGUCUGAGGGGAUGAUCAGUCACACGGGAACUGAGACACGGGCCCGACUCCUACGGGAGGCAGCAGUGGGGAAGUUUGCGCAAUGGGCGAAAGCCUGAUCCCGCCAUGCCGCGUGUGGGAAGAAGGUUUUCGGAUUGUAAAGCCCUUUAAGUUGGGAGGCGUUACCAUCAGCAUAAGCACCGGCUAACUUCGUGCCAGCAGCCGCGGUAAUUC